UGGGGAAUAUUGGACAAUGGGGGCAACCCUGAUCCAGCCAUGCCGCGUGAGUGAAGAAGGCCUUCGGGUUGUAAAGCUCUUUCAGAUGCGAAGAUGAUGACGGUAACAUCAGAAGAAGCCCCGGCUAAUUUCGUGCCAGCAGCCGCGGUAAUACGAAAGGGGCUAGCGUUGUUCGGAUUUACUGGGCGUAAAGGGCACGCAGGCGGUCUUGCCAGUCAGGGGUGAAAGCCCGGGGCUCAACCUCGGAACUGCCUCUGAUACUGUAAGACUUGAGACUAGGAGAGGGUGGUGGAAUUCCCAGUGUAGAGGUGAAAUUCGUAGAUAUUGGGAGGAACACCAGAGGCGAAGGC
rnacentral:rRNA from 1 species